AAAAGCAUCUCCUCGCUCAUUCUUCUGAUCGCCUAGUCCAUUUGGAAGCAUCGCAACUCCUGCGUCUUUGACGGCGCCGCACCCUCUACGACCAAGCUCCUCCACGACAUCUAAGAGGAGGCUCGCUCAUGGGCCAAGGAAGGGGCCAAGGGACUAGCCAUCAUCACACGGUAG
rnacentral:rRNA from 1 species